CAUGAUCAGCCUCUGCGGCCUCAGAUCGAUGGGAGGUCGCGGGGGGAGGGAGCAAUGGGGGUGGGGGAAGAGAGACAGAGAGAGAGAAUAGGUGACUAUCACGAGUUAGUCCUCUGGCGCGUCUGUCGCUCAGUUGUCCAUCGCAACAUUUUACUUAUGCCAGAACACAGUAAACACCCCUCUCAAUUCCCAUGACUGCCGGUACUUAGACGAGGUGACAGCUGACACUACUUGCGAAGAACAACUUCAAUGCAAGUACCCAUUUUUAUUGUAACUUUAGCCUCUGUUGCUAUGGUCUUUAAUACAGAUUUUGGACUUCUCUCAAGUGGCAAUGCACUUAUUGUCGCAGAAGGAGAAGAAUGAUCUGAAUCAGUUGGUUAGCACAAUGGUGUCUUAUUCUACUCAUGAAUAUGUAAACUUCAAGGACUACAAGUCUAGUUAUCACAUACUUCCAGCAGCAUUGAAGCAAGUGUUGGUCCAUGAGGUAGUCCUUCAACUUAGUGCUUUGUGUUUUAUGUGCCGAUUCCUCUCAACCUGAUCGGGUCUUGAAAUCAAGUUGAGUGGUUCGCUCUGCUUGGACAUAAUGCUUUAAUCAACAAACAACCUUGUAGCUGGCAUCAUUUUUCUCUUCCCAACUGAUUCCAGCCUGAAAGAACAGAAGAAUUCAUAUAUCGGCAUCUUCUUUGUAACAAGAAUCGGCUUUAAAGAGAGAAGAUUUUUGAGCAUUUUGUAAAUUUAACUUCUUUCUGUCUACAAACUUUAAGAUUUAAAGUGACUUUGGGUUCAUAAAGUACCUAUUGUGAUUUUUUAAUGCCAAUUUGUCUGUCUAGCUUUAUCAUCACAACAAUCAGCUAGAGAAUUGACAUGAAAUUGAGGCAUACUUGAACUUUUAAUUCCUAUGAUUUCCGGUAGAUAUGUUGUUAUGAUAGGACAGCAAGUUUUUCUGUUUCUUGUCAAGGUGCUUUGAUUUAUGUACCGAGAGGCAUGAGCUGCUGCAUGUAGUAAGAAGUGUCUCAGAUGCUCAACCUCAUUGCUCAGGAUAAUGUUGUCCCAGUGGUAAACUGGAGCAGGAAAACUUGUUAGAUUCAAUUAGAGAAACUUUUAUGAGAUUGGCUUUAUCAUGAGCCAAAGUGUAAAUCGUACGGAACAAGUGUUGUUCAAAGUUGAGGGACCUUAAAGCUUAAACUCUCUGUUAGAACAUCUGGUUUUAUCUUGACCCACACCAUCUAACAGCUAUAAAGAUCUAUCCAUCCUUCUACUGAAAAGGAAGUUCCAUCAAUAUGUUGAUGCCAAUUAAUUUGACGCACAAAUUAAUGCCAAUACAGUUGAAGCUUAUGAUCCUGUCAUGUCGCUUUGGCAGAGAAACUGGCCAUGCUAAUUGGUUGGCCUUGCAGACUCUCUCUCUCUCUCUCUCUCUCUCUCUGGGCAUGGGUGCCGUAGGCAUGCCACAUCCUUUUGUGUUUGUCACACUGGUCUCAACGUGCUCGCUCACGCAGUCCAAGCCGCAUGUGCAUGUGCAUGCACUUCAUGUAGGGAUAUGGGCGGAUCCACAGUGAAACUCAGGUCGAGAAACAAAAGCUUUUGCAUGGGAGCACUGAGAAAUUUGCAUACCAGAGUGAAGCACAGGACAUUGAAGGAGAGAAGACUAGGGGAACAAGAUACAAUUCUUUCAAUGUGGCCACUUGUGCUAUGAAGGACAUUGGAAGUGGAGCUAAUAUAUCUAGCUCUACUCAAUUUAAUACGAGUGCCUCCACUAAUUCUUAAUCCCUUGCUCACAACAGAGCUACCAACAAUGAUGUGAAGCUAAAGCCCACUAAUGAUUUUAAAAAGCUUUCUGCUAGAUCCAGCUUC